rnacentral:rRNA from 1 species
GACGAACGCUGGCGGCGUGCUUAAUACAUGCAAGUCGAACGGAAAGGCCCUGCUUUUGUGGGGUGCUCGAGUGGCGAACGGGUGAGUAACACGUGAGUAACCUGCCCUUGACUUUGUGAUAACUUCAGGAAACUGGGGCUAAUACCGGAUAGGAGCUCCUGCUGCAUGGUGGGGGUUGGAAAGUUUCGGCGGUUGGGGAUGGACUCGCGGCUUAUCAGCUUGUUGGUGGGGUAGUGGCUUACCAAGGGUUUGACGGGUAGCCGGCCUGAGAGGGUGACCGGCCACAUUGGGACUGAGAUACGGCCCAGACUCCUACGGGAGGCAGCAGUGGGGAAUAUUGCACAAUGGGCGGAAGCCUGAUGCAGCAACGCCGCGUGCGGGAUGACGGCCUUCGGGUUGUAAACCGCUUUCGCCUGUGACGAAGCGUGAGUGACGGUAAUGGGUAAAGAAGCACCGGCUAACUACGUG